rnacentral:rRNA from 1 species
UAACAUGGGGGUCCUGCCCGCGCACCGGGAAUACGCUCUGGAAACGGAGAAAGGCCNGAUGUACAGGAAGGAGGCAUCUUCUUUCUGUGAAACAUCCUGUAAGGGAUGGGGCGCGGAUGGACCUGCNNUGCAUUAGUUGGUUGGCGAGGGUAAAGGCCCACCAAGACGAUGAUGCAUAGCCGGCCUGAGAGGGCGGACGGCCACAUUGGGACUGAGACACGGCCCAGACUCCUGCGGGAGGCAGCAGUAGGGAAUUUUCGUCAAUGGGCGCAAGCCUGAACGAGCGAUGCCGCGUGAGUGAAGAAGGCCUUCGGGUCGUAAAGCUCUGUUGCGGGGGAAAAAAGGCAUCUGCAGGAAANGGCAGACGACAGAUGGUGCCCCGCCAGAAAGUCACGGCUAACUACGUGCCNCCACCCGCGGUAAUACGUAGGUGGCGAGCGUUAUCCGGAAUGAUUGGGCGUAAAGGNUGNGCAGGCGGUCCUGYWWGUCUGGAGUGAAACGUAUGAGCUCAACUCAUGCAUGGCUCUGGAAACUGGAGGACUGGAGAGCAGGAGAGGGCGGUGGAACUCCAUGUGUAGCGGUAAAAUGCGUAGAUAUAUGGAAGAACACCAGUGGCGAAGGCGGCCGCCUGGCCUGUUGCUGACGCUGAGGCACGAAAGCGUGGGGAGCAAAUAGGAUUAGAUACCCUAGUAGU